AGCAGCCGCGGUAAUUCCAGCUCCAAUAGCGUAUAUUAAAGUUGUUGCAGUUAAAAGCUCGUAGUUGAAUUUCGGGAUCAAAGGAUCGGUCAUGCCUUGGUAUGUACUGGUUUUAUUGGUUCUCACCUUCUAAAGGACCAUAAUGUCAUUCAUUUGAUGUUAUGGGGAAUUAGGACUGUUACCUUGAAAAAUUAGAGUGUUUAAAGCAGGCUUACGCUUGAAUACAUUAGCAUGGAAUAAUGAAAUAGGACAUCAGAUUCUAUUUUGUUGGUUUCUAGGAUCGAUGUAAUGAUUAAUAGGGAUAGUUGGGGGCAUUAGUAUUCAAUUGUCAGAGGUGAAAUUCUUGGAUUUAUUGAAGACUAACUACUGCGAAAGCAUUUGCCAAGGAUGUUUUCAUUAAUCAAGAACGAAAGUUAGGGGAUCGAAGACGAUCAGAUACCGUCGUAGUCUUAACCAUAAACUAUGCCGACUAGGGAUCGGAUGAUG
rnacentral:misc_RNA from 1 species